rnacentral:rRNA from 1 species
AAAGACGGCGUAUGCUGUCACUUUUGGAUGGACCCGCGGCGUAUUAGCUAGUUGGUGAGGUAACGGCUCACCAAGGCGAUGAUACGUAGCCGACCUGAGAGGGUGAUCGGCCACAUUGGGACUGAGACACGGCCCAAACUCCUACGGGAGGCACCAGUAGGGAAUCUUCCACAAUGGACGAAAGUCUGAUGGAGCAACGCCACGUGAGUGAAAAAGGUUUUCGGAUCGUAAAACUCUGUUAUUGGAGAAGAACGUAUUUGGUAGUAACUGGCCAGAUAGUGACGGUAUCCAAUCAGAAAGCCACGGCUAACUACGUGCCAGCAGCCGCGGUAAUACGUAGGUGGCAAGCGUUGUCCGGAUUUAUUGGGCGUAAAGCGAGUGCAGGCGGUUUUUUAAGUCUGAUGUGAAAGCCUUCGGCUUAACCGAAGAAAUGCAUUGGAAACUGGGAAACUUGAGUGCAGAAGAGGAGAGUGGAACUCCAUGUGUAGCGGUGAAAUGCGUAGAUAUAUGGAAGAACACCAGUGGCGAAGGCGGCUCUCUGGUCUGUAACUGACGCUGAGGCUCGAAGCGUGGGUAGCAAACAGGAUUAGAUACCCUGGUAGUCCACGCCGUAAACGAUGAGUGCUAAGUGUUGGAGGGUUUCCGCCCUUCAGUGCUGCAGCUAACGCAUCUAGGCACUCCGCCUGGGAGUACGACCGUCAAGGUUGAUACUCAAAGGAACUGACGGGGGCCCGCANCAGCGGUGGAGCAUGUGGCUUAANUCGAAGCAUCGCGAAGAACCGUACCCAGGUCUUGACAUCUAGCGACCAAUCUAGNANAUNNGACGUUCCCCUUCGGGGACGCUAAAUNNNGUNNNNCAUGNUGUCGUCAGNNUCGUGCNNNAAAUGCNNGNUAGUCCANCCACUGAGUGNCNACCNUUCAUUNUNNNUNUCAGCAUUC